rnacentral:rRNA from 1 species
AACGAACGCUGGCGGCAGGCUUAACACAUGCAAGUCGAGCGCCUCGCAAGAGGAGCGGCAGACGGGUGAGUAACGCGUGGGAAUCUACCGUGCCCUAAGGAAUAGCUCCGGGAAACUGGAAUUAAUACCUUAUACGCCCUUCGGGGAAAGAUUUAUCGGGGUAUGAUGGGCCCGCGUUGGAUUAGCUAGUUGGUGGGGUA